UACAGAGGGUGCGAGCGUUGUCCGGAAUCACUGGGCGUAAAGGGCGCGUAGGCGGCGGGCCAAGCGUGCGGUGAAAGCCCGGGGCUCAACUCCGGGUCGGCCGUGCGAACUGGCGUGCUGGAGCACUGUAGAGGCAGGUGGAAUUCCGGGUGUAGCGGUGGAAUGCGUAGAGAUCCGGAAGAACACCGGUGGCGAAGGCGGCCUGCUGGGCAGUAGCUGACGCUGAUGCGCGACAGCGUGGGGAGCAAACAGG
rnacentral:rRNA from 2 species